rnacentral:rRNA from 1 species
GACAUAGGUGGCGAACGUUAUCCGGAAUUAUUGGGCGUAAAGGGUGCGUAGGUGGUUUAAUAAGUUACUGGUGGUAAAUCGGGGCUCAACCUCGUGGAAGUCAGUAAUACUAUUAGACUAGAGGUAUGCAGGGGAGAAUGGAAUUCCUGGUGUAGCGGUGAAAUGCGCAGAUAUCAGGAGGAACACCGGUGGCGAAGGCGGUUCUCUGGGCAUUACCUGACGCUGAGGAGCGAAAGUGUGGGGAGCGAACAGG